UACGGAGGAUGCGAGCGUUAUCCGGAUUUAUUGGGUUUAAAGGGUGCGUAGGCGGGAUGCCAAGUCAGCGGUAAAAAUGCGGUGCUCAACGCCGUCGAGCCGUUGAAACUGGCGUUCUUGAGUGGGCGAGAAGUAUGCGGAAUGCGUGGUGUAGCGGUGAAAUGCAUAGAUAUCACGCAGAACUCCGAUUGCGAAGGCAGCGUACCGGCGCCCAACUGACGCUGAAGCACGAAGGCGUGGGUAUCGAACAGG
rnacentral:rRNA from 1 species